AGCUCCAAUAGCGUAUAUUAAAGUUGUUGCAGUUAAAAAGCUCGUAGUUGGAUUUCUGGCCGAGUGUCCCCAGGCCAGCAUGACGUUUGGUCCUGGGCGCUCUGCCAUCCUUCUGUCAACCUUCGCCUCGUUCAUUCGUGGCGCUGGGGCUCAGAUAUUUUACCUUGAGAAAAUUAGAGUGUUUCAGGCAGGCUUUCGCCGGAAUACAUUAGCAUGGAAUAAUGGAAAAGGACUUCAACCUCUUCUGUUGGUCUGAGAGGCUGUAGUAAUGAUUAAUAGGGAUAGUUGGGGGCAUUAGUACUUAACUGUCAGAGGUGAAAUUCUCCGAUUUGUUAAAGACUAACUUAUGCGAAAGCAUUUGCCAAGGAUGUUUUCA
rnacentral:rRNA from 1 species